GAUGAACGCUGGCGGCGUGCCUAAUACAUGCAAGUCGAGCGAACAGACGAGUAGCUUUCUCCUCUGACGUUAGCGGCGUACGUGUGAGUAACACGUUGAUAACCUACCUAUAAGACUGGGCUAACUUCGGGAAACCGGAGCUAAUACCUGUUAAUAUAUUGCACCGCAUUUUUCAAUAGUGAAAGACGGUUUUGCUUUCACUUAUAUAUUGAUCCGCGCCGCAUUAGCUAGUUGGUAAGGUAACGGCUUACCAAGGCGACGAUUCGUAGCCGACCUGAGCGGGGGGGCGGCCACACUGGAACUGAGACACGGUACAGACUCGUACGGGAGGCAGCAGUAGGGAAUCUUACGCAAUGGGAGAAAGCGUAAAGGAGCAAAGCCGCGUGAGUGAUGAAGGGAUGCGGAUAGUAAAACUCUGUUAUUAGGGAAGAACAAAUGUGAAAGUAACGAGGAACGUCUUGACGGUACCUAAUCAGAAAGCAACGGCUAACUACGUG
rnacentral:rRNA from 1 species